CAGUAUCAGUAAGCUCUAUUGAGCAACUCAAUACACUGGAUGAGUUGGAUACUCUCGAGGGGAGACUGAGAGAGGAUGAAUAUCAGGCCAGCUUGGUAAGUCAAGUUGAAGUUAUGUCACUGUUAUUACAUUGUAAGAUUAGAAUGUUGUUUGUUAUGAAUUGCUUGGAAACAAAAGUAAACAGUAACAUGCCAUAAGUUUUGGUUGAAUUAAUAUACUUAUAUAAUGAUUUUCAUACCACAUAUAAAGUUCAAAUGUUCUUUUUACAGAAAAUUACUUAAGAAGGAUUGGUGGGGCGAAUGCCGAUGGCCACGUGGAAAAGGCUAUGCUAAGGUAAAAUAGAAUGAAAUUGGUGAAAGGUUACAGUAGCUCAGUAGGUAGAACUCGGGUCCAUGGAUCCAUAUAGACUGGUACAAGUAGUGGUAGGGAUCAAGUUUUUUGAGUUUUGAAAAUGUUGUAAGGUAUAUACUUUUAUUGCCUCAUUGUAAGAUAAGUGGAAUGUUUAUAAAAAGGAAGUGGUGUUAAUCCACACACAAAUCAUUAAUCAGUUGGUCAAUGAUUAUAUAUGUACAUCAAGAACAUCGAUCCAUACUUUGAAUUUGCAUCCUCAGAUAUGUUACUGGUUAUUUUUCAGAAUGAUGACAAACUCGCCCAUGUCCAAAAUGAACAUGAGGGGAAGAAAACCAAGACUGCGUUUCAUGUACUACUUUGUGUGUGUUGAUUAAAGAUUCAGUCCUCCUGACCUUUCCAAAGACAAUGGAAACGGAACUUCAGGAUAUGAUCAGUCGAUUUCUUAAAUAUGCCCCUGGCAGAACAGGGGGGAGAUGGAAGGCCUAAGCACUAGGACCUCUUUGCCACCCAGAAAAAAGAAGAGCUUAUGUUGUAUAUAUUUGAACUUAAGUUGUUGUUUUUAAUUAUCUUUGAAUACAAUUUUUGAAAA